rnacentral:rRNA from 1 species
GAUGAACGCUGGCGGCGUGCCUAAUACAUGCAAGCCGAGCGAACAGACGAGGAGCUUGCUCCUCUGACGUUAGCGGCGGACGGGUGAGUAACACGUGGAUAACCUACCUAUAAGACUGGGAUAACUUCGGGAAACCGGAGCUAAUACCGGAUAAUAUAUUGAACCGCAUGGUUCAAUAGUGAAAGACGGUUUUGCUGUCACUUAUAGAUGGAUCCGCGCCGCAUUAGCUAGUUGGUAAGGUAACGGCUUACCAAGGCAACGAUGCGUAGCCGACCUGAGAGGGUGAUCGGCCACACUGGAACUGAGACACGGUCCAGACUCCUACGGGAGGCAGCAGUAGGGAAUCUUCCGCAAUGGGCGAAAGCUUGACGGAGCAACGCCGCGUGAGUGAUGAAGGUCUUCGGAUCGUAAAACUCUGUUAUUAGGGAAGAACAAAUGUGUAAAUAACUAUGCACGUCUUGACGGUACCUAAUCAGAAAGCCACGGCUAACUACGUG